UGGGGGAUUUUGCACAAUGGGCGCAAGCCUGAUGCAGCGACGCCGCGUGAGGGAUGAAGGCCUUCGGGUUGUAAACCUCUUUCGCUGGGUUGAAAGGCCAUGCUUUGGGUGUGGUUGAUUUGAACUGGUAAAGAAGUACCGGCUAACUACGUGCCAGCAGCCGCGGUAAUACGUAGGGUACUAGCGUUGUCCGGAUUUAUUGGGCGUAAAGGGCUUGUAGGUGGUUUGUCGCGUCUGUCGUGAAAUCCUGUGGCUUAACCAUGGGCUUGCGGUGGGUACGGGCAGGCUUGAGUGCGGUAGGGGAGAAUGGAAUUCCUGGUGUAGCGGUGGAAUGCGCAGAUAUCAGGAGGAACACCGGUGGCGAAGGCGGGUCUCUGGGCCGUUACUGACACUGAGGAGCGAAAGCGUGGGGAGCGAACAGG
rnacentral:rRNA from 1 species